GCUUACACAUGCAGUCGAACGAUGAACCUCUUCGGAGGGGAUUAGUGGCGAACGGGUGAGUAACACGUGGGCAAUCUGCCCUGCACUCUGGGACAAGCCCUGGAAACGGGGUCUAAUACCGGAUACGACCAUCUCGGGCAUCCGAUGGUGGUGGAAAGCUCCGGCGGUGCAGGAUGAGCCCGCGGCCUAUCAGCUUGUUGGUGGGGUGAUGGCCUACCAAGGCGACGACGGGUAGCCGGCCUGAGAGGGCGACCGGCCACACUGGGACUGAGACACGGCCCAGACUCCUACGGGAGGCAGCAGUGGGGAAUAUUGCACAAUGGGCGGAAGCCUGAUGCAGCGACGCCGCGUGAGGGAUGACGGCCUUCGGGUUGUAAACCUCUUUCAGCAGGGAAGAAGCGCAAGUGACGGUACCUGCAGAAGAAGCACCGGCUAACUACGUGCCAGCAGCCGCGGUAAUACGUAGGGUGCGAGCGUUGUCCGGAAUUAUUGGGCGUAAAGAGCUCGUAGGCGGCUUGUCACGUCGGAUGUGAAAGCCCGGGGCUUAACCCCGGGUCUGCAUUCGAUACGGGCAGGCUAGAGUUCGGUAGGGGAGAUCGGAAUUCCUGGUGUAGCGGUGAAAUGCGCAGAUAUCAGGAGGAACACCGGUGGCGAAGGCGGAUCUCUGGGCCGAUACUGACGCUGAGGAGCGAAAGCGUGGGGAGCGAACAGGAUUAGAUACCCUGGUAGUCCACGCCGUAAACGUUGGGAACUAGGUGUGGGCGACAUUCCACGUCGUCCGUGCCGCAGC
rnacentral:rRNA from 1 species